AUACGGAGGGUCCAAGCGUUAUCCGGAAUCAUUGGGUUUAAAGGGUCCGCAGGCGGUCAAUUAAGUCAGAGGUGAAAGCCCAUCGCUCAACGAUGGAACUGCCUUUGAUACUGGUUGACUUGAGUUAUAUGGAAGUAGAUAGAAUAAGUAGUGUAGCGGUGAAAUGCAUAGAUAUUACUUAGAAUACCGAUUGCGAAGGCAGUCUACUACGUGUAUACUGACGCUGAGGGACGAAAGCGUGGGGAGCGAACAGGAUUAGAAACCCGUGUAGUCC
rnacentral:rRNA from 1 species